UUUAAUAAUUGUCGAAAUAAAAAAAAUUAAUAUCAGAGCUAAUACUCAGUGAUAGUUUAACUAAAAGCUAAGUGAUCCAGAGGGAUCGAAAUCUUCUGCAGGGAGUUGUCUUGGCGAAGACUAGUGGAGAUCACCUGCGAUGGCGACACCUGGCCACUGCCAUGUGUGUGGUGGAUCGUCAUUCUAGUUGUCUGAAAUCUAGAUUUUGAAAAUAACCGGUUACCAAAACCCCCAAAACCUAAGGUUCAAUCCCUUUAUUUCCCACUCUUCUGCUUUUUCUCCCUCCUUACUCUCUUUUGUUCGGACAAAGCAUAGCAGGUUACUUUACCAUGAGACGCAGAUCGAGGAAAAACCUAGGGCUCUUCAUCCUUUUACUCCAAGCAUUCUUCAUUUCCAUCUUUCAUCUCUCUCAUUCAAACAAAGAAAGUAAAUCGAUCGACAUAACCCUAGGGAACAUUGGAUCAAGCACUUUCUCAGUUUUCUUCUCAAGCAUCGACAGCAUCUAUUAUGCACCAAUACCAGGAAUGAGAUUAAAGACAUCAUUUAUUUUUUGGAUAUUAAUUUUGGCUUUUGAUUAAGGACAUCUAUUUUGCAUAGAAUCAAUUUAAUCCUUUUUUUUUUUUUUUUUUCGUCUCUAUUUAACUUUAUUUUGCUUUAGAUUUAAUAUAUUGAAAACUAACAUUUUGUAGAUUGUAGGUGAUUCUUUAGCUCAAAAAGAAGAGCACCUAGGAUUUUACCCAGGGUAUGAUAGUUUGAAUCUAUCAAGAUUCUUGGAAUUCUAAAUAUUGGUUGUGUGGGGUGUUGCAUAAUGAUUUUCUUACUUGUUUGAAUAGAAACAGAUCUAGUGUUUAUCCCACUAUUGAUUUUAUUUUUUAUAUUUAAUUUUUUUCAUUGAAAUACUUCA